UAGAAAGUAGUUUAAAAGGAAAAACCUAGAACUUUGAUUUCUAAUUUAUAAGAUCAAUCCUUAUCUUUCUAA
rnacentral:tRNA from 1 species